rnacentral:rRNA from 1 species
CUCAGGAUGAACGCCGGCGGUGUGCCUAAUACAUGCAAGUCGUACGCACUGGCCCAACUGAUUGAUGGUGCUUGCACCUGAUUGACGAUGGAUCACCAGUGAGUGGCGGACGGGUGAGUAACACGUAGGUAACCUGCCCCGGAGCGGGGGAUAACAUUUGGAAACAGAUGCUAAUACCGCAUAACAACAAAAGCCACAUGGCUUUUGUUUGAAAGAUGGCUUUGGCUAUCACUCUGGGAUGGACCUGCGGUGCAUUAGCUAGUUGGUAAGGUAACGGCUUACCAAGGCGAUGAUGCAUAGCCGAGUUGAGAGACUGAUCGGCCACAAUGGAACUGAGACACGGUCCAUACUCCUACGGGAGGCAGCAGUAGGGAAUCUUCCACAAUGGGCGCAAGCCUGAUGGAGCAACACCGCGUGAGUGAAGAAGGGUUUCGGCUCGUAAAGCUCUGUUGUUGGAGAAGAACGUGCGUGAGAGUAACUGUUCACGCAGUGACGGUAUCCAACCAGAAAGUCACGGCUAACUACGUGCCAGCAGCCGCGGUAAUACGUAGGUGGCAAGCGUUAUCCGGAUUUAUUGGGCGUAAAGCGAGCGCAGGCGGUUGCUUAGGUCUGAUGUGAAAGCCUUCGGCUUAACCGAAGAAGUGCAUCGGAAACCGGGCGACUUGAGUGCAGAAGAGGACAGUGGAACUCCAUGUGUAGCGGUGGAAUGCGUAGAUAUAUGGAAGAACACCAGUGGCGAAGGCGGCUGUCUGGUCUGCAACUGACGCUGAGGCUCGAAAGCAUGGGUAGCGAACAGGAUUAGAUACCCUGGUAGUCCAUGCCGUAAACGAUGAGUGCUAGGUGUUGGAGGGUUUCCGCCCUUCAGUGCCGGAGCUAACGCAUUAAGCACUCCGCCUGGGGAGUACGACCGCAAGGUUGAAACUCAAAGGAAUUUGACGGGGGCCCGCACAAGCGGUGGAGCAUGUGGUUUAAUUCGAAGCUACGCGAAGAACCUUACCAGGUCUUGACAUCUUGCGCUAACCUUAGAGAUAAGGCGUUCCCUUCGGGGACGCAAUGACAGGUGGUGCAUGGUCGUCGUCAGCUCGUGUCGUGAGAUGUUGGGUUAAGUCCCGCAACGAGCGCAACCCUUGUUACUAGUUGCCAGCAUUAAGUUGGGCACUCUAGUGAGACUGCCGGUGACAAACCGGAGGAAGGUGGGGACGACGUCAGAUCAUCAUGCCCCUUAUGACCUGGGCUACACACGUGCUACAAUGGACGGUACAACGAGUCGCAAGCUCGCGAGAGUAAGCUAAUCUCUUAAAGCCGUUCUCAGUUCGGACUGUAGGCUGCAACUCGCCUACACGAAGUCGGAAUCGCUAGUAAUCGCGGAUCACAUGCCGCGGUGAAUACGUUCCCGGGCCUUGUACACACCGCCGUCCACCAUGGGAGUUUGUACGCCCAAGUCGGUG